AGGCCACUUACUAAUGCAACUACAAUUUUCUUUUUUUUUUUUUAGAAAUUAGGAUAUUUUUCCUCCUACGGCAUACAACCUACCUUAUCAAUUACUCCAUUUUUUCACAACCUCCUUUUUUCAUUCUCCUCUGAAUCUGCUCUGAAGCUCCUCCAAAACUCAAUAAUGGAAGUUAUCAACAAGUAGCAGAUUGGGGGCGAGAGUUUUGAGCGCAAGUGAGAGUUUCGAGUAGUGGGAUGAUUCCAAAAUCGUAAUUCCUCACCAUCAUUAUUUGAGUUUGCUGGAAUUGCUCUUUAGAUAUGAUACUACAUCAGGUUUUAUGGGAGCAAUGAUAUCAAAUUUGGCAUUUGUCUUCCGCAACAUAUUUUCCAAGAAAGGCAUGAAAGGGAAGUCUGUCAGUGGGAUGAACUACUAUGCUUGUUUGUCGAUUCUCUCUCUUGUACUUCUCACUCCAUUUGCAAUCGCCGUGGAGGGACACUAAAUGUGGGCUGCUGGAUGGGAGAAGGAUGUUUCUCAAAUUAGACUCAACUUUAUUUGGUGGGUGGUCGCCCAAAGUAUGUUUUAUCACCUAUAUAGGUAAAGCAAAAAGAUGACACAUUUUCCUUAACACUCAACUAUCAAGAGUUCACAAAGGUAUAUGUGACCUUGAGUGUUUCUUUGUUAAUCUGGAAGAAUACCCCACAGAAGCUCUUCUAUGCAUGGAUGCUACCAUUCAUGAGGUAUAUCAAGCAGCUCUAUUUAUCUGAAUUAUGUCGCAAUAUCAAGUACUUAGUGUGAAUUGCAGCUAUCCCAUACAGAACAAUCAAAUUUGUGAAGCAGACAAAAACGUCAAUAUUUGAAGGUUGACCAUUGUAUCAGUUAACUAACUAGGUUUUUUUUUUUUAAUUUUUUAAUUUUUUUUUUUUUUUUUUUUUGGUUAUAGAGUAUUAUUUAUUGCUAAUUGUGAGAGAAAUAUUUGUAAUUUACAAGUACAUCAAUUCAAUAUAAUUUACAAGACGUUGCUUAAA